rnacentral:rRNA from 1 species
CGCUGGCGGCAGGCUUAACACAUGCAAGUCGAGCGGUAGCACAAGGGAGCUUGCUCCCUGGGUGACGAGCGGCGGACGGGUGAGUAAUGUCUGGGAAACUGCCUGAUGGAGGGGGAUAACUACUGGAAACGGUAGCUAAUACCGCAUAACGUCGCAAGACCAAAGAGGGGGACCUUCGGGCCUCUUGCCAUCAGAUGUGCCCAGAUGGGAUUAGCUAGUAGGUGGGGUAAUGGCUCACCUAGGCGACGAUCCCUAGCUGGUCUGAGAGGAUGACCAGCCACACUGGAACUGAGACACGGUCCAGACUCCUACGGGAGGCAGCAGUGGGGAAUAUUGCACAAUGGGCGCAAGCCUGAUGCAGCCAUGCCGCGUGUGUGAAGAAGGCCUUCGGGUUGUAAAGCACUUUCAGCGAGGAGGAAGGUGGUGAGCUUAAUACGCUCAUCAAUUGACGUUACUCGCAGAAGAAGCACCGGCUAACUCCGUGCCAGCAGCCGCGGUAAUACGGAGGGUGCAAGCGUUAAUCGGAAUUACUGGGCGUAAAGCGCACGCAGGCGGUUUGUUAAGUCAGAUGUGAAAUCCCCGGGCUCAACCUGGGAACUG